UGCUGGAGGUAUCAGAAGUGCGAAUGCUGACAUGAGUAACGACAAAGGGAGUGAAAAACUCCCUCGCCGGAAGACCAAGGGUUCCUGUCCAACGUUAAUCGGGGCAGGGUGAGUCGACCCCUAAGGCGAGGCCGAAAGGCGUAGUCGAUGGGAAACGGGUUAAUAUUCCCGUACUUCUUACUAUUGCGAUGGGGGGACGGAGAAGGCUAGGUGAGCCUGGCGACGGUUGUCCAGGUCCAAGUACGUAGGUGGAUGAAUUAGGCAAAUCCGGUUCAUCAUUAACACUGAGAUACGAUGUCGAGCUACUACGGUAGCGAAGUCAUUGAUGCCAUGCUUCCGGGAAAAGCCUCUAAGCUUCAGAUAGUAAGAAAUCGUACCCCAAACCGACACAGGUGGUCGGGUAGAGAAUACCAAGGCGCUUGAGAGAACUCGGGUGAAGGAACUAGGCAAAAUGGUACCGUAACUUCGGGAGAAGGUACGCUCUUAACGGUGAAGUCCCUCGCGGAUGGAGCUGUCGAGAGUCGCAGAUACCAGGUGGCUGCAACUGUUUAUUAAAAACACAGCACUGUGCAAAAUCGAAAGAUGACGUAUACGGUGUGACGCCUGCCCGGUGCCGGAAGGUUAAUUGAUGGGGUUAGACGUAAGUCGAAGCUCUUGAUCGAAGCCCCGGUAAACGGCGGCCGUAACUAUAACGGUCCUAAGGUAGCGAAAUUCCUUGUCGGGUAAGUUCCGACCUGCACGAAUGGCGUAAUGAUGGCCACGCUGUCUCCACCCGAGACUCAGUGAAAUUGAAAUCGCUGUGAAGAUGCAGCGUACCCGCGGCUAGACGGAAAGACCCCGUGAACCUUUACUACAGCUUGGCACUGAACAUUGACCCUACAUGUGUAGGAUAGGUGGGAGACUUUGAAACGCAGACGCCAGUUUGCGUGGAGUCGUCCUUGAAAUACCACCCUUGUAGUGUUGAUGUUCUAACUUGGCCCCAUUAUCUGGGGUGAGGACAGUGCCUGGUGGGUAGUUUGACUGGGGCGGUCUCCUCCCAAAGAGUAACGGAGGAGCACGAAGGUGGGCUAAUCACGGUCGGACAUCGUGAGGUUAGUGCAAUGGC
rnacentral:rRNA from 1 species